GUGUGUAUGUUAAUGUGGUACAUUUACAUUCUGUCAGACCCUGGAACUGGGCCUGGUCCAUUUAACCGGCCCAGUCCCAAGUGUCCGCCUCACAUGAGGGAAUCCAUCCCAAAGAAGGAGCUCCUGUUUUAGGGCUUCUUCUCCUUCUCCUUUGAAGCCACCAAGAUAGAGCCGCCACACCCAAGGAAGAGGAGGGGGUUCUUCGUGUUGCCGCCGAAAGAGAGAGAGAGAGAGGGCCGUUGGGUGGCUUUCUUCUUCCUUUGCCGCCGGAUCUUGGGCUGAGGUAAGGUUUUCUACCCUUCACUUCUUUGUUAUACCGUUUGGAAAAAAAAAGAAAGAAAGAAAGAAAGAAAGAAGAAGAGAGGGAAGAAGGAGAAGGCCGACCGCCGCGGGCUCUUCUUCUUCUCCCGUGCGCAUGCCUCCUCCGCGGGAAGAAGGAGAGGGUCGGCCGCCGCGGGCACCGCCGGCCUCGACUUGGCCUCUCCCGAGCUCGCUGACCUCCCUUCGCGGGAGAAGAAAGAUGAAAAAAGAAGGGGGGGUAGGAGAAGAAGUCGGGAGAGAGAAGAGGAGGAGAGAGAAAAAGAAAGAAGAAAGAAAGGGGGGAAGGAAGAAAGAAGUCGGAAGAAGAUUCUGGAGAAGAAGAGAAGAAAAGAAAAAGAAAAGGGAAGGAAAGAGAAGAAGGGAAAAGAAAAAGAAAAUAAGAAGGAAAAAGAAAAGAAAAGAAGGAAAAAGAAAAAUAAUAAUAAUAAAUAAAUAAAUAAAGAGAGGAGGUGGUUUACGGGUAUAAACCCGAAUUCGAGGUGCUAGGCACUUCUGCAGGGUCAGCCAUAGGAGAAUAUUAAAAUUUAAGUUUAUGUAUAUAUAUAUAUUAUGAUAAAUUUUAAAAGAAGAAUAUGAUUUUUGGAUAUUAGGUUCUGCGAGAGAUUUGCAUAAUUAAUUGGAUUUGUUGUGGAUCACGUUCGCAAGGUAAGUAAUGUAACCUCUUUACUAGAUUUAUCGGCAAACUAUGUAUGUUUUACGAAUCGAAUAAUUCGUGAUUACGAAUUUAAUGCAUGGGUUAUAUGUAUAUUUUUAGAAUAUUGUAUGACUUUGAUUUAACGUAUUUGCUUCUGAUUUGGAUCGUGUUCGAUUGCUCUGUUAUUGUACCUUUCAGCUUGGAACACUGAAUAUAAUAUGAGAAAAGAUAAUGACUUGAAAUAGAUUCAGACUCGCAGUCAAGCUAUGUUGAGGAUCCUGCCAAUGGGGACUAAUACAUUGAUAACGCAAAAAGAUUAGUUGGUGAUAUGACCCUGCCACAGGGAACAUGUAGUCAUAGUUUCUGGCUAUUGAGUUGAAUCUGAUAAAUUGAAAGAAAUUAAGAUAUGAACGAUAUUUGGUUUUGACAUUGCAUGUUUUCAUAACUGAAAUAUGAAAUAGAGAACUAAUUGAACUUCGACCUGGCUAUGUUGAGGACCCCGCCAAUGGGGGCAGAUACGUUAGCAAUUGACUGUCCUGAAGGACUCACGAAAAUUAGUCGGUGUUGGUGACCCUGCCACAGGGAAUAUGUGGUCAGAGUGCAGGAUCGACAAGAUGAAUUGAAUAUGUGAAAGAAACUCGAAACCGUACAAAAAUCUUAAGAAUUUAAGAAAUAUUUGACUUGUACCUUGGAAUUGCAUAUAUAUUUAUUUUCUACAUAUUAUUGCCUGAUUUAUCUAGCUAGAAUGUUCAUUACUUAUUGAGCCUUUAGCUCAUUAUACAAUUUCUUGAUGUUUUACAGAUUUCGAGAACUAGUCUAUUGGGGUUCUAAAAUGGAAGAGCGACUAGAAGGAUUGUGGCGCAAGCUAUCUUAGAUUAGGAUCAUUUAAGUUGAACUGUUAUCUUGGACAUUUAUUAUGAUUGUUAGAUAUUGCAAGGUUUUGUUAUUUUAAGAACUAAGUUUUGCAUGUUGGUAAACUAUUGUUCCGUUGCGUAUUUAGAACUGUGAGACUUAUGACUUGAGUUAGUAAAUGGAAUAAAAAUUAUAUUUUUAUUUAGUUAAAUUAUUUUAGAUUUAUAUAAUUGAGAUGUGUGGUUAAGAUGCC
rnacentral:lncRNA from 1 species